rnacentral:miRNA from 1 species
UAUACAUCACCAGUUGUCUCAU